rnacentral:rRNA from 2 species
GAUUGGAAUUCCUGGUGUAGCGGUGGAAUGCGCAGAUAUCAGGAGGAACACCGAUGGCGAAGGCAGAUCUCUGGGCCGUAACUGACGCUGAGGAGCGAAAGCAUGGGGAGCGAACAGGAUUAGAUACCCUGGUAGUCCAUGCCGUAAACGUUGGGCGCUAGAUGUAGGGACCUUUCCACGGUUUCUGUGUCGUAGCUAACGCAUUAAGCGCCCCGCCUGGGGAGUACGGCCGCAAGGCUAAAACUCAAAGGAAUUGACGGGGGCCCGCACAAGCGGCGGAGCAUGCGGAUUAAUUCGAUGCAACGCGAAGAACCUUACCAAGGCUUGACAUACACCGGAAACGGCCAGAGAUGGUCGCCCCCUUGUGGUCGGUGUACAGGUGGUGCAUGGUUGUCGUCAGCUCGUGUCGUGAGAUGUUGGGUUAAGUCCCGCAACGAGCGCAACCCUCGUUCUAUGUUGCCAGCGGGUUAUGCCGGGGACUCAUAGGAGACUGCCGGGGUCAACUCGGAGGAAGGUGGGGAUGACGUCAAAUCAUCAUGCCCCUUAUGUCUUGGGCUUCACGCAUGCUACAAUGGGCCGGUACAAAGGGCUGCGAUACCGUAAAGUGGAGCGAAUCCCAAAAAGCCGGUCUCAGUUCGGAUUGAGUCUGCAACUCGACCUCAUGAAGUCGGAGUCGCUAGUAAUCGCAGAUCAGCACGCUGCGUUGAAUACGUUCCCGGGGCUUGUACACACGCCCGUCAGUCAUGAAAGUCGGUACACCCGAAUCCGGUGGCCUACCCUU